UACAGAGGGGGCAAGCGUUGUUCGGAAUUACUGGGCGUAAAGGGCGCGUAGGCGGCCGCCUAAGUCAGACGUGAAAUCCCCCGGCUCAACCGGGGAACUGCGUCUGAUACUGGGUGGCUUGAAUUCGGGAGAGGGAUGCGGAAUUCCAGGUGUAGCGGUGAAAUGCGUAGAUAUCUGGAGGAACACCGGUGGCGAAGGCGGCAUCCUGGACCAACACUGACGCUGAUGAGCGAAAGCCAGGGGAGCAAACGGG
rnacentral:rRNA from 1 species